rnacentral:lncRNA from 1 species
CAACAAUUUAAAACCCUGUCUAUAAGAAAAAGUCGGUUUGGUACCAAGCAGACAAAAAGUUAGAUUUGUUAUGACAUACAUACAGUUCGGAAAAGUUUUCUUCUGUGAUUUACCCGUUAACUUAUCGACUACCGGGUGAUAGACCAUACUCAUGUACAUACAUAUGAACAUCCAUUUAUAUAUACAUAUGCAUAUAUGUACAUGUAUUAUUUUGUGUAUGUAAAUGCAUAUGUACAAUUACCCUGCAAACAGUUUGGCGAUAUUACACUAGCGUAGUUCCGAGAAGUGUCUACAAAGUUAGAAGAUUCGAAGCGACUGCAGACGAUCGUUUGGCGAAAGCACUAACCAAAUAGUAUAGUAGAUUGUCAAUUUAAAGGAAGCGAAACGUCACCGCAGAAUUUGCGUCGCGAAGUCUCAGGCCUCUGCCAACGUCGCAGCUACAAGUAUUAGUGCGUGUAGAACACGCAGCUAAAAGUCUCAGCUACAUUUGCAUAAGUUCGUGUAGAGCACGCAGCCAGAAGUCCCAGCUACAUCUGCAUAAGUGCGUGUAGCCAAUGAUUUUUUAGCGCUCCAAACCGGUUUUGUCUUGAUUCACACGGACACUGCAAGUUAUGUAUGUGCUGGUGCGCUGACUUUCUGAAGUGCGAUGGAACGAAAAUUCGUUUUGAUGAUUUGAUUUUGCUUUCGGGGCUUGGCGUAUGAACCUCACCUACCUGUGCAGAAUGAGGGGUGGGGAUUGGUGGCCGCACCUUUGGGGGUUGGAAAAAACAAAUAUACCAAUAAAAGUUGUUAUUGUAUUUGAAUGCUGUAAUUUUUUUAAAUUCAGAUUUUAUACUGCUUUAUUCAAAAUUGUAUGCAUAUUAUGGAUAUAUAUGCAUUAUAUAUUGCUGCCGUCUUAUCAACAUUGUUACCAAAUCCAUAUUUUACAGACAAAUCGUUUCAGAUAAAUAUAAAAAUAUAUAUAUGUAAAUAAGCAUAAAUGUAAACACAUAUGUAUAUAUAUGUACAUACAUCUUUCCAAUUUCUGUUCUCGUCGUCGGUUAUGUUCUCGACUUCAUGUGCGCUUUAAUUGUGCACAAUUAAAU